CACAGCUUAUCAUGAUAUGUAAUAAUGUAAAUAUAUAUGUUUCCUCUAUAAAUAGCUUAGGGUGAGGACCUUUUAUUGACAUCAACCAAAUAACAAUAGUAUCAUCCAAUUAAGUAUGGCAUUUAAAGUUGUGUUGGUUUUGUUUCUUGCAAUGCUUUUGCUUGCUGAUCAGAAUAAUGCUGAGACCGUUGGAGACUUUCGAACAUGUCUGUACGAUUGUUAUAAAUUGUGCAAUUUUGCCCCAGUCUGUGCUGGUCCAUGCUUUCUCAAAUGCACUAUAGGUGAAUCAGUUGAUACUACUGAUAAGGGAUAAAUUCGAAAUCACGUUUGUAAUGUUGGAUGUUCUUUAGGUCACUGUUACAAAUUUCUUAUCAAAUAUGAUAAGGAUAAGUUUGGAAGUUGCAUGAACGGCUGCAGUGAAAACUAUUGCAUUGGCAAUAUUGCUCUAAAGAAAGCUUAAGAAGAAGUAUUUAAGAAUUAUUAUCACAAAAGUAUGUCUCUAUAUACGAAACUAAAUUAUUAAUUUGUGCUUGCAAUUCCUUUCGUAAAUUACGCAUUUGUGUUAUGUAUUGAAUAAAUCAUGUGCUUUAAUGUAUUCCUAUGUACUAAAGCACGAGAGAAGUUGUAGUU